rnacentral:misc_RNA from 1 species
UACGUAGGUGGCAAGCGUUGUACGGAAUUAUUGGGCGUAAAGCGCACGCAGGUAGUUUCUUAAGGCUGAUGUGAAAGCCCACGGCUCAACCGUGGAGGGUCAUUGGAAACUGGGGGACUUGAGUGCAGAAGAGGAAAGUGGAAUUCCACGUGUAGCGGUGAAAUGCGUAGAGAUGUGGAGGAACACCAGUGGCGAAGGCGACUUUCUGGUCUGUAACUGACGCUGAGGCGCGAAAGCGUGGGGAGCAAACAGG